GCGUAAAGAGCUCGUAGGCGGUUUGUCGCGUCUGUCGUGAAAGUCCGGGGCUUAACCCCGGAUCUGCGGUGGGUACGGGCAGACUAGAGUGCAGUAGGGGAGACUGGAAUUCCUGGUGUAGCGGUGGAAUGCGCAGAUAUCAGGAGGAGCACCGAUGGCGAAGGCAGGUCUCUGGGCUGUAACUGACGCUGAGGAGCGAAAGCAUGGGGAGCGAACAGGAUUAGAUACCCUGGUAGUCCAUGCCGCAAACGUUGGGCACUAGGUGUGGGGACCAUUCCACGGUUUCCGCGCCGCAGCUAACGCAUUAAGUGCCCCGCCUGGGGAGUACGGCCGCAAGGCUAAAACUCAAAGGAAUUGACGGGGGCCCGCACAAGCGGCGGAGCAUGCGGAUUAAUUCGAUGCAACGCGAAGAACCUUACCAAGGCUUGACAUGUUCUCGAUCGCCGUAGAGAUACGGUUUCCCCUUUGGGGCGGGAUCACAGGUGGUGCAUGGUUGUCGUCAGCUCGUGUCGUGAGAUGUUGGGUUAAGUCCCGCAACGAGCGCAACCCUCGUUCCAUGUUGCCAGCACGUAAUGGUGGGGACUCAUGGGAGACUGCCGGGGUCAACUCGGAGGAAGGUGGGGACGACGUCAAAUCAUCAUGCCCCUUAUGUCUUGGGCUUCACGCAUGCUACAAUGGCCGGUACAAUGGGUUGCGAUACUGUGAGGUGGAGCUAAUCCCAAAAAGCCGGUCUCAGUUCGGAUUGGGGUCUGCAACUCGACCCCAUGAAGUCGGAGUCGCUAGUAAUCG
rnacentral:rRNA from 1 species